GCUUUUUCUUCCCAAACAAACCCUACAUUACCUUUUCCGUUAUUUAUACAGAGAAGAAAAGAAGAAACGGCGGCUACAAAUGAUGAAGAAAUGGAGUCUCUGCUUCGCACCUUCGAUCAUAUAUACGAUGAUGUGAAGAAUGGAAUCACACAGAUUCAAUCCUUGCAAUCAAAUUGCAACGCCGAAGUUAAUAAUGGACAAGUUCUUCAACUCAUUUCCAAUAGCCUCAAACCAGCUUGAACGUCGGACCAAUUGCCAGAGCUUGAAAGAAGAAUUGGAGAGAACGAGAAUUGAAUAU